rnacentral:rRNA from 1 species
UACGGAGGGGGCUAGCGUUGUUCGGAAUUACUGGGCGUAAAGCGCACGUAGGCGGACUUGAAAGUCAGAGGUGAAAUCCCAGGGCUCAACCUUGGAACUGCCUUUGAAACUUCUGGUCUUGAGGUCGCGAGAGGUGAGUGGAAUUUCGAGUGUAGAGGUGAAAUUCGUAGAUAUUCGGAGGAAAACCAGUGGCGAAGGCGGCUCACUGGCUCGAUACUGACGCUGAGGUGCGAAAGCGUGGGGAGUAAACAGG